GAUGAACGCUGGCGGCGUGCCUAAUACAUGCAAGUCGAGCGAACAGACGAGGAGCUUGCUCCUUUGACGUUAGCGGCGGACGGGUGAGUAACACGUAGGUAACCUACCUAUAAGACUGGGAUAACUUCGGGAAACCGGAGCUAAUACCGGAUAAUAUUUCGAACCGCAUGGUUCGAUAGUGAAAGAUGGCUUUGCUAUCACUUAUAGAUGGACCUGCGCCGUAUUAGCUAGUUGGUAAGGUAACGGCUUACCAAGGCAACGAUACGUAGCCGACCUGAGAGGGUGAUCCGCCACACUGGAACUGAGACACGGUCCAGACUCCUACGGGAGGCAGCAGUAGGGAAUCUUCCGCAAUGGGCGAAAGCCUGACGGAGCAACGCCGCGUGAGUGAUGAAGGUCUUCGGAUCGUAAAACUCUGUUGUUAGGGAAGAACAAACGUGUAAGUAACUGUGCACGUCUUGACGGUACCUAAUCAGAAAGCCACGGCUAACUACGUG
rnacentral:rRNA from 1 species